rnacentral:lncRNA from 1 species
CGGGAGGCGGGGCGGCCCUGGAAGCUGGAGAAAAGUUGCAGGGAUCCGAGCGCCAGCAGCUGCUGGAGCUGGAGCCGCUGGAGCGAGGACCACCCCGCAGCCUCCGGACUUUGUUUGCAGAGCAGCGUGCCACGCUGCAGGGGGAACACGGUUCCCAGCUACCCUUGCAGCUCGCGGUGGUCACGUGACACGGAUCUGCCCAAUGGGAUGCUAAUGAAGGUCUGGAGGCGGGGCUUCUAGGGAAGACCAAGGCCCCGGAUCCAAGAUGGCAGCCCAGGAGAACCGCUGGCACCCGGGUUCUUGGUGGCUCAGCUUCUCGCAUGGGCAUGAAGGUUCCAACCGAGAGCAAGCCUCCGUUGCCCGCGGGUCCCCUGCGGAGUCCCCGAAUUAACUUCCGUGACCAACUCCCCGCCGACUUCAAGCUUGCCUCGCGCUCCUCCCCGUGGUCCUGGCCUGAGCGCCAGGUGCUGUGCUGUGUGCCCCACACCCAGUCCUGCUCCCUGAUGCCCGCGCAGGGCCCCCGCCAGCAGCAGGAGGCACGUGAGCUGCUCUGUUGUGCUCCCCCGGCGGGCAGGGCCUCCCAGAGGGGAUGCCGGGGGAAGUCAUGGCUCAGAGUGGCCCGUGGGGGAGAGGCAGGAAGGGGACUGACACCCCCCCCCCCGGUUCUUCCCAUCUCCCGUCUUCCCUUGGACCGAACUCCCUGCAUUGUGGUUUCAUCUUUUCCCCAGGCUGCCAAACGCAGGUCACUGCAGGAAAGCGUUCUACCGGGGCUGGAGGAGGCUGGAGAGGCUGGAGGCCCAGCGACCACGGCUGUUUGCUGUCCCCAGCUGUUCCCGGCCGUCCCCGGCUGUCCCUGGCCCCCAGAGGUCACAACAAGGCUGAAUUUGGCCUCUGCCCUCCCUGGGUGGGCGGGCCUCACAACCCCAGGUCCGCAGGAAGUGUCCGUUCAAAUCUUGCAGCUACUUGGAAUUUUUAAAGUGCAUUGCACACACACUUCCUGUGACGUUUCCAGGACCCUUGGGGAAGGUCGGACUGCAGUUGGCGUUUCCGUGGUGAGUGGGGAGACCCAGCAGGUGUAA